ACGAGCUGUGAUAACUGUGUCUGAUAGAAUGAAGAGUAGACUGAUAAAUGAAAUAUUCCUUUAUUGGGUGAGAAAAUCAGACCAUGUCAUAACUGCUUUAAGUCAUACAGAAUAGACAUCAGAGCCUUAAACAGGCUGACUUCUGCUAAAUGGGUCAAACUGGGCCAGAAAGUCUACAAACACAUAACAUCCUUAUAGAAUAUGAUGUAACACUAUAGAUCAACUUAGCUCAGAAUAUAUAAAGCAAAUAAACAAUUACAGCAAUAUGAUGCAACAAACACAGCAGUGCUACUGAUCCAAAAUACUCAAAGCUUCAUAGAACUGAAACAAACAUUUUUUUUUAGCUCCAUUCUGCUGCUGAUACAGACUUUAGGUUUCUGAACAUUAAACUUGUUGCUGCCUUUCAUAGUGUGUAACUUGAAGGCCCUGAGUACUUUCUCCCACACUGGAAACACUGGAAUGACAACAUUAUUUGAACAUUACCUAAUAAGACUGAUUCAGGACAGACAGUUAUGUUAAACUUUCCUAGCAGUCCUUCACAAACAGGGAACAGUCUGUCUAUUCUCUCCAUCUGUCAGCUGCUGCUGGCUCUUCCUCCUCCUCUUCCUCACACACUGCUGAGUUUGUCCUGGUGGAUCAUCAGGGCUGCAAAGCCUCACAGAUGAUGUGCAGCAGUGGGUCCCUCAGUCUGUCCUCACUCUGGACACUUGCAGUCGUCACACAUGGAAAUCAAAUGUGUGAUAAGGUGCAGGAUUCAAACACAAGUGUAACUUAUAAACACAUGUUCAUACUUUUAUUCCACAAUCAGAGAGAAAGAAACAGAGAGAGAGUGCAGGACCAUAGCUGGACUCGCCAUCGGGCAUACCGGGCAUUUGCCCGGUGGGCCGCUGGCGAUUUUUUGCUUUUAUGGGCCGAUCGAUUUUUUUUUUCUUUUGGAAGGGUAUAAAUAAUGAAAGGUGUUGGAUUGGCCAAUUGGUCAUGAUCGACUCUGGGCUGGACCAAUUACAGCCGAGGAGGUCGGAUGCACCCUCCCCCUUGUUUAGCAAUCUUAUAAAUGAACUAAAGAAAAUGGAGAACAAAAAAAGGAAAGAAGGUGCAGAAAAAAUUAGGGCCAAAAAGAAACAAGCCCUUCAGGCAGACGCUGCCAAAUGUGUAAAAAUAACUGAAUUGUUUGGCGGUAGCUGUGGCAUAGCUUCCACAGAUUUAGCAACAUCAGCAAGUGGUGGAGGCCAGCAGGUGGAUAAGGGAAAGGGGAGGCAAGAGGAGGAGAGACCCGAGGCCGCCACCGG
ensembl:lncRNA